rnacentral:rRNA from 1 species
AUUGAACGCUGGCGGCAGGCCUAACACAUGCAAGUCGAACGGUAACAGGAAGAAGCUUGCUUCUUUGCUGACGAGUGGCGGACGGGUGAGUAAUGUCUGGGAAACUGCCUGAUGGAGGGGGAUAACUACUGGAAACGGUAGCUAAUACCGCAUAAUGUCGCAAGACCAAAGAGGGGGACCUUCGGGCCUCUUGCCAUCGGAUGUGCCCAGAUGGGAUUAGCUAGUAGGUGGGGUAACGGCUCACCUAGGCGACGAUCCCUAGCUGGUCUGAGAGGAUGACCAGCCAAACUGGAACUGAGACACGGUCCAGACUCCUACGGGAGGCAGCAGUGGGGAAUAUUGCACAAUGGGCGCAAGCCUGAUGCAGCUAUGCCGCGUGUAUGAAGAAGGCCUUCGGUUGUAAAGUACUUUCAGCGGGGAGGAAGGGAGUAAAGUUAAUACCUUUGCUCAUUGACGUUACCCGCAGAAGAAGCACCGGCUAACUCCGUG